AUUGAACGCUGGCGGCAGGCCUAACACAUGCAAGUCGAACGAGUGGCGGACGGGUGAGUAAUGUAUGGGAACCUGCCCGCUGGAGGGGGAUAACUACUGGAAACGGUCGCUAAUACCGCAUACCAUCGGAUGUGCCCAGAUGGGCUUAGCUAGUAGGUGGGGUAACGGCUCACCUAGGCGACGAUCCCUAGCUGGUCUGAGAGGAUGACAAGCCACACUGGAACUGAGACACGGUCCAGACUCCUACGGGAGGCAGGAGUGGGGAAGAGUGCACAAUGGGAGAAAGCCUGAGGCAGCCAUGCCGCGUGUAUGAAGAAGGCCUGCGGGUUGUAAAGUACUUUUAGCGAGGAGGCGGUACUCGCAGAAGAAGCACCGGCUAACUCCGUGCCAGCAGCCGCGGUAAUAC
rnacentral:rRNA from 1 species